rnacentral:rRNA from 1 species
AUUGAACGCUGGCGGCAUGCUUUACACAUGCAAGUCGAACGGUAACAGGCCUUCGGGUGCUGACGAGUGGCGAACGGGUGAGUAAUGCAUCGGAACGUACCCAGUGGCGGGGGAUAACGCAUCGAAAGCUGUGCUAAUACCGCAUGUGAUCUGAGGAUGAAAGCGGGGGACCGCGCAGCAAUGUUUGGCCUCGCGCCUUUGGAGCGGCCGAUGUCGGAUUAGCUAGUUGGUGGGGUAAAGGCCUACCAAGGCGACGAUCCGUAGCUGGUCUGAGAGGACGACCAGCCACACUGGGACUGAGACACGGCCCAGACUCCUACGGGAGGCAGCAGUGGGGAAUUUUGGACAAUGGGCGCAAGCCUGAGCCAGCAAGGCGGCGUGCGGGAAGAAGGCCUUCGGGUUGUAAACCGCUUUUGGCAGGAACGAAACAGUGUCCGCUAAUACCGGGCGCUAAUGACGGUACCUGCAGAAUAAGCACCGGCUAACUACGU